AGGCAGUGGGCUUGGAGCCAGUCCACCCUGACCGGCCUCCUACUGGUGGUUUGCGGCUUCCUUUCCUGUGGGUGACGGCUCCUGAACAGCACCCACGAGGGCUGUUCAAGCUGCUGAGGAUCCAGAAACUCAGCAAGCAGUGGAGAGCAGAGGUUUCAAGACUCCAGAACCUUGAUCACCCUACUGUGUUGAGAGGGCAGAAGGCAGAAGGCAGCACACAGGGGCAGGGUCAUGGAGAAGGACCAGAUCCAACACUCUGACCAGACAAUUUGAAGAAAGGAAGUGAUGUCCGUAGAGCAGCACAGCCAAGAAUCUCUGUCUGCCUGAGGCUUGGGGAGGACUAUCUGCAAUGGAGAUGCUUUGGGUGCUUUUGAUUUUUGUCUUUUUGAGUCUCAAUAUGCAAUUCAG